rnacentral:lncRNA from 1 species
AAAUGCUCAUCAAUGGAACUGGUCUGUUGCCUGAAGCUUCUGAGUGAUUAUGAUGACCAAAUUCCCAGUCCACAGUGGAUAUCAAGAAAGGAAGAAAAACAAAGCUUACUUGCCCCGAGAUAAAUUAGAGAAAUAUAACCUAACUUCCCUUGGUCAUUAAAGCUGGAGAUAGAACGUAUGAAGACUGAAAAUGAGAGAGUGUGAGACAAAGGAGGAACCCAUAUGGUGGAGACAUCUUCCAUUUCCCACCAGCAAUUGGAGAGGUACAAGCAGAGGCAUUAGUGAUCAAGCUGCAGUGUCUUUUCUACUGAUGGGAGCGAAC